rnacentral:rRNA from 1 species
GACGAACGCUGGCGGCGUGCUUAACACAUGCAAGUCGAACGGAAAGGCCCUGCUGUUGUGGGGUGCUCGAGUGGCGAACGGGUCAGGAACACGUGAGUAACCUGCCCUUGACUUUGGGAUAACUUCAGGAAACUGGGGCUAAUACCGGAUAGGAGCUCCUGCGGCAUGGUUGGGGUGGGAAAGUUUCGGCGGUUGGGGAUGGACUCGCGGCUUAUCAGCUUGUUGGUGGGGUAGUGGCUUACCAAGGCUUUGACGGGUAGCCGGCCUGAGAGGGUGACCGGCCACAUUGGGACUGAGAUACGGCCCAGACUCCUACGGGAGGCAGCAGUGGGGAAUAUUGCACAAUGGGCGGAAGCCUGAUGCAGCAACGCCGCGUGCGGGAUGACGGCCUUCGGGUUGUAAACCGCUUUCGCCUGUGACGAAGCGUGAGUGACGGUAAUGGGUAAAGAAGCACCGGCUAACUACGUG